CUCUGCUCCUGAAUCCACAGGGUGGAAGCAGUCCAGGGCUGAAUGGAGCAUCAUUCCCCAGCAGCUCAGAGCAGCUGUUGGAGAAGCGAUCAGAAGCAAAGGCAUCGAGGUGUUUUCAGUGGGAAGCAGAGCCUGGGAAGCUCCUUUGCUUUCUCCCGUGUGUGGGCAGAGGUGGAUGAAGGCUGGGAAGGCUUUGUCUCCAAUUCCAGACUGAGAAGCUGAGCAGGGGAUGAAGGUAACAUCUGCUCCUCCUCCCUUUGUCCAGGAGAGACCUCGGGCACCAGCCUGUGA
rnacentral:lncRNA from 1 species